UACGAAGGGGGCUAGCGUUGUUCGGAAUUACUGGGCGUAAAGCGCACGUAGGCGGAUUUGUAAGUCAGGGGUGAAAUCCCGGGGCUCAACCUCGGAACUGCCUUUGAUACUGCAAGUCUCGAGUCCAUAGAGGUGAGUGGAAUUCCUAGUGUAGAGGUGAAAUUCGUAGAUAUUAGGAAGAACACCAGUGGCGAAGGCGGCUCACUGGAUCGGUACUGACGCUGAGGUGCGAAAGCGUGGGGAGCAAA
rnacentral:rRNA from 1 species